CUGAGCUAAUUAAUAAGUAAAAAGUGAUUUUAUUAACUACGGAAAGUAGGAUUUUAGUGGUUCCAAGUAGUAAUAGACAGAACAAAGUAAGUCAUCAAGCAAAAUAAAAUGUGCAAAUCUAUGUCUAAUCAAACUGAAUACACAUAAGAUCCUCACCAGUUACAGACAGAAGUAGUCUGGGCACAUUGGGUGGAAGCUCCCAAAGGGGGUUUCUGUGAUCUAACCUGUCAUUGGUGUGGUCAAGCAGGAUCUCUGCACAGCUGAUUGCGUUGAGAUACUGGUAGUGAUUUUAAGUGAGUUUUAAGUGUGGUGGCUGGAGAACAGACAAAAUGGUUACUGGUUUGUUAUUUUCUGUUUGCUUAUUUCGGGUAAGGGAAGUAGGGGCAGAAAAGGAAGUGGAAGAAGGAAGAUCAGAAGAAGCUAAAACUGAGGAGGGUGCAAAUUUCCUAGAAAGGCUGAACACUUGGCACUGUGAAAGGCUCUGUUAACUAAGAAUCCCCUGAGCUGAGUGCAUCCCAGUUUCAGUGAACUGCAGGGGAUGUGGCCCAGCAGAAGAAAGCAGGAAAAUGACUACCAGUGAAGCAUCUAACAAACUAAAACUGGCUAGACAGGAAGCAAAAGAGAAAGAAAAUGAACAUAAAAGACUGAUAGAGAGGGAGGCGGCUGCCCACGAGAGCUAUGGAGGCAGAAGAAUCCAGGGUGGAGGCAGAGGCAGCUGCCCACAAGAGAGCUAUGGAGGCAGAGAUAGCAAGGGUGGAGGCAGAAAAAGCCAGGGAAGAGCUGCCCACAACAGAGCUAGGGAGGCCCAGAACCAUCAACUGGCUGUAAUGGAAUUGAAGAGACCAAACCCUCCACCUGCUGGCUCCACUGCCCCAAAAAUCUGUAAAUGGGAGCAACUGUGUCCACUGUAUGAGGAAUCCAGCGAUAUUGCUGAAUAUUUCAUCAUCUUUGAGAGACUGCACCCUACAUGCCAUCCUUGAAGAUCAAAAGAUGACCACAUUGAUAGCAAAAUUGACUGGAAGAGCUCUGGACAUAUUCAGUAAGAUGCCUAUUGAUGUUGCUUCUAACUAUGGUAAAUUUAAGGAUCUGUUUUUGAAACUGUUUCAGGUUACACCUGAAACCUACAGGGUUAAAUUCAGGAGUCUUAAGAGGGGAUCUGGAUUGAGUAAUGUGGCAUAUGCCAAUGAAAUGAGAGAUUUGGUAGAUAAGUGGGUGCAGGGGAAAGGCAUUACAAGCUUUGAAGGGAUGUGUGAUCUGGUUACUCAAGAACAAUUCCUGAAUAUGUGCAGUGAUGAUGUAAAACAGUAUUUGUGGGACAAAAAGGUAAAUGCAAUGAGUGAAUUAGCUGGAUAUGCCGACUCUUAUGAGCAAGCACAAGCUGCAAUCAAACAUAAACCAUUGGCAGAGGGGUACAGAGUUGGGGGGAAACAAUUAUCACUUUACACCUGGGAAGGAGGAGGCUGGAUGGUCACCUCCCCAUUCCCCUGUUACUUGGCCCAAAUUUCCUGUACAAGCAGGGGAUCCCAGAAGGUGCUUUCACUGCAAUUCCCAAGGGCACCUGAGAAGCAACUGUCCGAAAUUAAUGGAGAGUAAACCUCUCUUGUCCCAGGUUAGCUCAGUUGCCCUUAGCCCUGAGUCCCCAGAGCACUCCUACCUCUUAUCACACCAGCUUGGUGGAUAUGGGGCCUAGUGAAGUAGACAGGGAAUAUAUCAAGGUUAUCAAGACUGAUGGUAUGGAGUGUCUGGGGUGGAGGGAUACAGUGGCUCUGUUCUCUCUGGUUGGACCAAGUGUGCUUCUAGAUGCUAGUGUUCUGAUGGGGCAGACAACCCACAUUAAGGGGGUGGGGCCACAGAGGUUCCCUGUGCCCCUGUCUCAGGUUCAUGUGGAGUGGGAAGGUAUGGAUAGUGAUUUACUGGUGGGAAUGCUCCAAGAUAUCCCUGUGGACAUGUUUCUGGGAAAUGAUUUUUUUCAGCAAAAUUAGGGCUGUUAGUGUGGUAACUCGCAGCAUGAAGAAAAGCUGUGAGGGGCUCCUAGAGGGGGAGGCUGUUCCAGCUGAUGACUGUAGGUCUGAUGCACCUGAACAACUAACACAUCCUGCCCCAGGAAACAUGGGGUGGGUGACUGAGUCCCCAAAAAUGGGGUGGGGACCUUGGAACCCACGGGGGAGGUGAGGGAGGAUCCCAUUGACACUACAGUGCAGAGAGGCAGGGUGCUUCCAAGUAGGAGAGUGGCAGAACCAAGCCUCUGCCCUGCUGAAGACAAUAGGCUCCCGAGGCCAGGGGCAGAGAAGAUGCAGUCAGUGCUCUGGGAUGGGGAUGUUGUCUCAAGGGAUGUCUGUCAGGAAUUUGCAGCUAAACAAAGGGUGGGUAGACCUCUCCCUUGAGAGUAUAUGAAAGUGUGUCUUGGAGGGAACUCCAGGAAGGGAUGGGGGGGAGAAGUUUUUUGAAGAGGAUAGGAAACUAUAGGCAGGCCCCUGUAGGGAAAAACCGUGUCCCAGUUAAGCAGUUGGUUGUACCUAGCCAACACCGGGAGGAAUUAGUGCUGGAAGCACAUGACAGUCCCUUUGCUGGUCACUUGGGGGUACAGAGGACAUAUGACAGGCUGAGGAGGAAUUUCUUCUGGCCAGGGAUACAGAACAAUGUGAGCAGGGGCUACUCCAGGCCCCAGCAUGCCAAGCGUGUGCUUGGGGCAGCAUGCCACGGUGGGCGCUCUGCCGGUCACCGGGAGGGCAGCAGGCAGGGCUCCGGUGGACCUCCCGCAGGCAUGCCUGUGGAGGGUCCGCUGGUCCUGCAGCUUAGGUGGUAUGCCUGCGGAAGGUCCACCGGAGCCGCGGGACCGGUGACUGGCAGAGUGCCCCCUGCGGCAUGCCGCCAUGCUUGGGGCGGCAAAAUGUCUAGAGCUGCCCCUGGAUGUGAGGGAUUAUUGUAGGACUUGUGCAGUAUCUCAGGAGAGGAAGAAAUCGGGGGGUGGGGGUCCCCAGAUUGCUCCGCUGCAUCGCCUGCCAGUCAUCCAGAAGGCAUUUCAAAGAGUGGCAAUGGACAUAGUGGGCCCUAUGCCACGCCCCACACAGAGGGGGAACAAAUAUAAUUUAGUGGUAGUAGACUUUGCCACUCGGUAUCCUGAGGCAAUCGUGCUGUCUAACAUAGAAGCUGAAACAGUGGCAAGAGCCCUGCUCACCAUAUUCAGCAGAGUGGGCUUUCCUAAGGAGAUUUUGUCUGAUCGGGGGGACAAAUUUUAUGUCACAGUUGUUCAAUGAGCUAUGGUGUGUGGAGUGAAAGAGCUUAAGACUACCCCUUACUACCUCCAGGCCAAUGAGCUGGUGGAAAGGUUCAAUGGGACCCUAAAAUCAGUGCUGGGGAAGUAUGUCAAGAAAAGGGGCCACAGCUGGGACAAACUAUUGCCAUUCCUGCUGUAUGCCUAUGGGGAGUUACCUCAAGAGUCCAUGGGCUUUUCUCCAUUUGACCUUCUGUAUGGAAGAAAAGUGAGGGGUCCCCUUGAUCUCGUCAGGGAUACCUGGGAAGGGUGCAAUAUGGUAAGGGAGGAAUCCAUGAAUGAGUAUGUCCAGAGUUCAGGAGGGAGCUGAAAGACUUGAUGGAACUUGUCCAAAACAACUUCCAGAGCAGUCAGGCCAAGCAAAAGGCAUGGUAUGGUGGUAAUACUUCUAAAUGCACUUUUGACAUAGGGGAUUUGGUCAUGAACUUUUUGGCAGGGCUGAGUACCAACAUGCAAAACUCUUGGGAGGGCCCUUUGAAGUGGUGGAAGUGCCGAGUGAGGACACUUACAAAGUUAAAAAGCCCCUGGAUGAUGCUGUGCCCCAACUGGUGCAUGUAAACAGACUCAAGGGUUAUCACAGUAGAGUGGCUGGAGUAAACGUGAUCUGUUGAGCCAAAGAGGAAACUGAGGCACACCCACUCACUGAUCUGAUAGCUGAAUGCCAAUAUGGGUCAACCCUGGAAAGUAUGGAAAUCUGUAGUGAGCUGACACCAGUUGAAAGGGAGGAAGUGUUUUCAGUGCUGCAGAAAUACAGCGAGGUAUUUUCCAACAAACCAGGGAGGACACGCUUGCUGUCCCAUAGAAUCCUCAUGAAAGGGGCUCAGCCUCCUCCUUCUUGGCCUUACAGGGCCAUCGGCAAGGUGAAGGAGAAAAUUCGGGCUGAGAUACAAAGCAUGUUGGAUGGGGCGUGAUUAAGAAAUCUGACAAUGCAUGGGCUUCCCCUGGGGUCUUAGUCCCCAAAAGGGAUGGCACAGUUAAAUUUUGUGUGGACUAUAGGAAACUCAAUGCUGUCACUAUAAUAAAUGCAUGCUCCAUGCCAAGAAUUGAUGAUAUGCUGGAUAUGCUAAGCCAAGCCAAGUACCUUUGAUCUGACUGGCAGAUCCCUUUGGAGGGGGAGGCACAACAAAAAUCAGCUUUUAUCACUGACAUAGGGCUCUAUAAAUUUAGUGUUACCUUUUGGUCUGGUAAAUGCUGGUGCAACCUUCCAGAGACUGGUCAACAGAGUGUUUAAAUGGUUUGCAGAAUUAUGUGAGGGCGUACAUAGAUGAUAUUGCUGUAUUCAGCAACACUGGGGUCACCACAAGGAGCACCUGGAAGUUAUGCUAUCAAAGCUCAAAGAAGCUGGGCUAACCGUGAAGCCCUCUAAGUGCAAGACAGGGGCAGCCAAAGUCCCUUAUCUGGGACACUGCAGGGGGGGCCUAAAAUAUCCCCUGACCCUCUUAAGGUGGAAGCCAUCGUAAAAUGGCCUAUACCCCAGACUAAAAGGCAAGUCCAAUCCUUCAUAGGCUUGGCAAACUAUUACAGGAGGUUUGUGGAGGAGUUCAGUGACAUUGUAUCCCCAAUCACGGACCUAUGUAAAAAGCAUCAACCUAAUAAGAUAAUUUGGUCAGAGGCGUGCCAGAAAGGCUUCAACAAGUUAAAAGCACUCCUGUCUGCAGAGCCUGUGCUGGCCAGCUCUGACUCCGAAAAACCCUUUGAAUUGUGUACUGUGCAUCCGACACAGGAUUGGGUGCUGCGCUGAUGCAGAUAGGGGGAGACAGCAAGAAGCAUCCCAUUGCCUUCCUAGGCAAAAAGCUGUCCCUUGCUGAACAGCAUUACUCUGUCAUGGAGAAAGAGUGCUAUGCCAUUGUGUGGUCAGUCAAACAACUAAGGAGGUUCAGGAUUCUAACUGACCAUUCACCUUUGGUAUGGCUUCACCUGACUAAGGGCACAAACUCCAAGCUGCUACGCUGGAGCCUGGUCCUACAGGAAUUUGACAUGGAGAUUGUGCAUAUUAAAGGAAAGGAGAACUGGGUAGCAGAUGCCUUAGCCAGAAAAGAGGAAUUUUAGAUGUACUACCUCUGCCAUGGACAGUGUCCAAGUCUCUGGCAGUAAGUUCAGGAGGAGGGUGUGACACUGUGCCUCAUAAUGCUUUAUGGGAAUGUGACCUAACUGGAAUAGAUUUUGUGCUGCUUGUGCCAUGUAACAUAUCUCUGUAAAGGUUAUGGGCUACUAUAUCUAUUCAUUCUAUUUGUACACAUACAUCAUUUUGUACUUGAGGUUAAGAAUAUUGGCUGUACGCUUGCUUGAUUUCUAAGUAAGCUUUGUGAGGCAUUUGAUCAGCUUCUUUAGGAAGGAAUUCACAAGGUUAAGUACACAAUCAGGAAGCACUUGGGGAACAAUGCAUCUUGGAAUGCUCCAAUCCACAUAAGUCUUCCUGGAGACAUACAAGAUACCAUGUGGACAGUGGCUUCUGCCUGUAAAGACUGAGAGUCAUGCAUAGACAUGUGACUUGCCCAGGUGACUCCAGAACCCCAUCCUGGAGCUGGACUUUGCAUAGGAGUGAGAAGAGGGGAACCCUCCAUUUGGGCUUCAGCUGGCUAAAGAAGGAGCCUCUCCACCUCGCAGGAUAUUUGAAAGAAACUGGAACAAAGGACCAUAACCACAGGGGGUGUGAGUGAUUGCUGGACCCAGGCUAAAAGGAGAUUAAUCUGUAAAAGGGAGCAUUCUGGAACUGCCGAAACGCCAGUCACAGAGGGAGGGUUGUGUCCGACUGAUUGCCUCAGCUCUUGUGCGGUGGACGACCCGGACAUUCUACUGUGCCUGGUGAUGUGUACAGGAGGAACACAGAUCAGAUCGGCUGCUGGACCAGAAUCCCUCAAUCUCAGCUGCAUGGUGGAAGUUCGGAGAAUUCUGAGGGUACUGUUACAGAAUUUCUGCAGGCUUUAUACAGGAUGUAGUUACUGGAAUACCAAAACAUUGAGUGCUGGCUGGUCUCUUCAAAGUAAAUCUGAAAUGUGCCGAAAGUCAGACUAUUCUGGUAAAAUGUCUAGAAGAUACCACUACAAAGAAGUGGUUGCAAGGUAAUCUAAAGAGCCGUGAACCUGAUUUUGUCUUGUCAAUUGUAUAGAAUAGAAAUGAUUACCUUUCUUUCCAAAGUAAAAAUGUUAAUAUGAAUUUAGUGUUCAUGGGGUAUUGGAUUGACAGUCCUGAGGACCAAAGUUGUUUAAACAGAACAGAAAGUGGGAUUUCAAGUUUAGUUUAAUUGCCCUGACCAUUUCCAUCCUUGCUAUGUGUGCUACUAACAAGGGUGCUAAUUGUAAUGGCUUUAGAGAUGCCUGUUUACUGGGAAUUAGAGUGAAACUUCUCCAUUCAUUCCAUAUAGGCUACUCAAGUGAUAGUAAUUUCCAGUUGUUUCUAGUGAAAGACACUCUGUAUCCUGUUACCAAUCCCCUGAACCAAUCCCCCCAAGAAUAGUUCUUCUACUAUUAGCCUUUUUACUUAUUAGCCUGUGUAUUAAAGCACAUAUGAGUGAUCACUCUUUGUAUUCUUACCUGUUUACAACAAUCCAACUACAACUGAGAUUGCUGAGACUCAAGUUGUAUUGGUAUAAUUAAAACAAUACAGAUAAUGUUGUACAACCUCAGUAGUAUAGAUGCAGUUAAACCACUGAGUGCUUUAGCAAUAUAGCUGUAUUCCUCCACAGGAAGGAAGAUAAGCCAUCCAAGUGUGACAGGUGCUAUAGACACAUGCAACAUCUUUGAGAGUAUUGUUUCAACUUUAUUAAAGUUACCUGUAGCUCUGAGCCAGGGAUUGCAUGCCAGCUCCAUGAGUUGCUAACUCCCUCCAGAACUAAAACCAGCACGUGUGUGGGUAAUUACUACAGACCCUGGGACAGGUAAGCAACUCCGGAGAACUUCUGAAUGCUAGGUGACCUGCAUAUACUGGUUCUGGCUGAGUUCCAGAAGAUAGAGAGAGGCUUUUGAUAUACAGGCUCAGCUGAAAUUGACUGAGAAGUACUUGAUCUAAAAACUGACACAAACUGUUAAACAAGAGAGCAAACUCAGCUGUAAAGUUUGAAGGACUUUGGAAUUUAACAGUGUUCUCCUGUGGAAUUUGGGUGACAUUUGGUAAGCUUAGCAUUCAUUUAGACAAUUUAUUUUGUUUUUUGGACUAAGGCAUUAGAGAACUUAUAAAUGUGGUUGGCAGGCUCUUGAACUGCAGCUUAAAUCCCUGGGUUGGAUGGAGAGAGUUGUGUAAGGCUAAGAUUUUGUCAUGGAUAUUUUUAG